rnacentral:rRNA from 1 species
UACGUAGGGUGCGAGCGUUGUCCGGAAUUAUUGGGUGUAAAGGGCUCGUAGGCGGUUUGUCGCGUCGGGAGUGAAAACAUCUGGCUUAACUGGGUGCUUGCUUUCGAUACGGGCAGACUGGAGGUAUGCAGGGGAGAACGGAAUUCCUGGUGUAGCGGUGAAAUGCGUUGAUAUCAUCAGGAACACCGGUGGCGAAAGCGGCUUACUGGGUCUCAUCUGACGCUGAGGAACGAAAGCUAGGGGAGCGAACGGG